UCCCUGAUAGCUCAGUUGGUAAAGAAUCUGCCUGCAAUGCAGGAGACCCUGGUUUGAUUCCUGGGCUGGGAA
rnacentral:tRNA from 1 species